AUUGAACGCUGGCGGCGUGCUUAACACAUGCAAGUCGAUCGGUAACGCGGGGGCAACCCUGGCGACGAGAGGCGGACGGGUGAGGAACGCUUGGGAAUCUGCCUAUCAGCGGGGGACAACCCGGGGAAACUCGGGCUAAUACCGCAUACGCUCUACGGAGGAAAGCCGGGGACCGCAAGGCCUGGCACUGAUAGAUGAGCCCAAGUCGGAUUAGCUAGUUGGCGGGGUAACGGCCCACCAAGGCGACGAUCCGUAGCUGGUCUGAGAGGACGAGCAGCCACACUGGGACUGGGAGACGGCCCAGACUCCUACGGGAGGCAGCAGUGGGGAGUAUUGGACAAUGGGGGAAACCCUGAUCAAGCGACGCCGGGUGGGUGAAGAAGGCCUGCGGGUUGUAAAGCCCUUUCGGUAGGGACGAAAGCUCUCGACCUAACACGUCGGGAGGUUGACUUAACCUACAAAAGAAGCACCGGCUAACUCUGUGCCAGCCGCCGCGGUAAGAC
rnacentral:rRNA from 1 species